rnacentral:rRNA from 1 species
GACGCACGCUGGCGGCGUGCUUAACACAUGCAAGUCGAACGAAGUGGCGAACGGGUGAGUAACGCGUAAUCAACCUGCCCUUCAGAGGGGGACAACAGUUGGAAACGACUGCUAAUACCGCAUAAUGAAGGAGGGGAUUGCUUCUGAUUAGCUAGUUGGAGGGGUAACGGCCCACAAAGGCGAUGAUCAGUAGCCGGUCUGAGAGGAUGAACUGCCACAUUGGGACUGAGACACGGCCCAGACUCCUACGGGAGGCAGCUGGGGGGAAGCUUCCGCAAUGGACGAAAGUCUGACGGAGCAACGCCGCGUGAGUGAUGACGGCCUUCGGGUUGUAAAGCUCUGUUAAUCGGGACGCGGUACCGGAAUAGAAAGCCACGGCUAACUACGUGCCAGCCGCCGCGGUAAUUC